UUAAUAGAAGCCAAAUUAGAGGCAUCUCACUGUUAAUGAGAUAAUUGAAUUUCUUUUAUUCCUAUUAAA
rnacentral:tRNA from 1 species